UUACUGGGCGUAAAGCGCACGUAGGCGGCUUCGUAAGUCUGGUGUGAAAUCUCACGGCUCAACCGAGAGGCUGCACCAGAUACUGCGAAGCUCGAGGACGGGAGAGGAGAUUGGAAUUCCCGGUGUAGCGGUGAAAUGCAUUGAUAUCGGGAGGAACACCAGUGGCGAAGGCGGAUCUCUGGCCCGUUGCUGACGCUGAGGUGCGAAAGCUGGGGGAGCGAAAGGGAUUAGAUACCCCUGUAGUCCCAGCCCUAAACGAUGGGCGCUAAGUGUUGGGGGAUUACCCUCAGCGCCGAAGCUAACGCAUUAAGCGCCCCGCCUGGGGAGUACGACCGCAAGGAUGAAACUCACAGGAAUUGAGGGGGGCCCGCACGAGCGGUGGAGCAUGUGGAUUAAUUCGAUACAAACCGAAGAACCUUACCUGGGCUUGACAUCCACGAGAAACGCCUGGAAACAGGCGCCUCGGGAAACUGACCCGUGGACACCGGUUGCAUGGCUGUCGUCAGCUCGUGCCGUGAGGUGUUGGGUUAAGUCCCGCAACGAGCGCAACCCCUGUCCUCUGUUGCCAGCGGGUCAUGCCGGGCACUCUGAGGAGACUGCCGUGGUCAACACGGAGGAAGGUGGGGACGACGUCAAGUCAGCAUGGCGGUUACGUCCAGGGCGUCACACAUGCUACAAUGGGUGGUACAAAGGGCAGCCAACGCGCGAGCGGGAGCGAAUCCCAAAAAACCACCCUCAGUUGGGAUCG
rnacentral:rRNA from 1 species